UACGUAGGCAGCAAGCGUUGUUCGGAAUUACUGGGCGUAAAGAGUGUGUAGGCGGUGCUCUAAGUUUGGUGUGAAAUCUCCCGGCUCAACUGGGAGGGUGCGCCGAAAACUGGAAUGCUUGAACGUGGGAGAGGAAAGCGGAAUUCCUGGUGUAGCGGUGAAAUGCGUAGAUAUCAGGAGGAACACCUGCGGUGUAGACGGCUCUCUGGGACGGUACUGACGCUGAGACGCGAAAGCGUGGGGAGCGAACAGG
rnacentral:rRNA from 1 species